GGGAAUUGUUGUCAUUGUGGUGGUGACCUCAGGUUUCGUUUUGGUAAACUGUCGAACGAUAUUGAUCAAAGGCCCGUCUUCCACUGAAGUGAAGUCUGGUCCGAUGACAUACUGCUGUGGGGAAAUCUCUCUGGGUAAGAGCCCAUACCCUAAUGUUGUGGUGAACACCUGAUUCUACAAGAUUAUCAAAGAUGGGAUGCCACAUGUCUCAUGACCAGACUUUGCCCUUCCAGAGAUGUAAGUACAUUAUGCUUUGAGACUGGAAAUUAAGCAGGAAUGAUGAAUUAAUCAAUUACAGCAAUCAAUGACAUAAUCUGACAACCUGCAGUAUCUGACACUGACUUCUCCUCCGGUACACUAUAAUGGAGAACCUGGAGCCAAUAGUGUGUCCAUACUUCAGUAACAUUGGUCAGCUUCUCCAGAGGUUACUGCUUGACCAGCCAGAACAGGUGAGUGACCAAGGACCUAAAUGAAGUAGAGAGUCUGUGUAUCCUAUUGUCACAUUGUGUUGUUUUUUUUUACCUCACAUCAAAACUUACCAACUUAACAAAAUCAGUGGAGGUUGUUUUUAGUCUUUGAACACCAAGGAAAGAAAUG